rnacentral:tRNA from 1 species
AAGCGAGAAGCAAAAAUUGCAAUCAGUUUCGACCUGAUCUUAGAUAAAAAAUUAUCCACGCUUU